rnacentral:rRNA from 1 species
UACGAAGGGGGCAAGCGUUGUCCGGAUUUAUUGGGCGUAAAGAGCGUGUAGGCGGUUUGGUAGGUCCGUUGUGAAAACUCGAGGCUCAACCUCGAGACGCCGAUGGAAACCAUCAGACUAGAGUCCGGAAGAGGAGAGUGGAAUUCCUGGUGUAGCGGUGAAAUGCGCAGAUAUCAGGAAGAACACCCGUGGCUAAGGCGGCUCUCUAGUACGGUACUGACGCUGAGACGCGAAAGCGUGGGGAGCGAACAGG